rnacentral:rRNA from 1 species
GACGAACGCUGGCGGCGUGCUUAACACAUGCAAGUCAAUCGGUAACGCGGGGGCAACCCUGGCGACGAGAGGCGGACGGGUGAGGAACGCUUGGGAAUCUGCCUAUCAGCGGGGGACAACCCGGGGAAACUCGGGCUAAUACCGCAUACGCUCUACGGAGGAAAGCCGGGGACCGCAAGGCCUGGCACUGAUAGAUGAGCCCAAGUCGGAUUAGCUAGUUGGCGGGGUAACGGCCCGCCAAGGCGACGAUCCGUAGCUGGUCUGAGAGGACGAUCAGCCACACUGGGACUGAGACACGGCCCAGACUCCUACGGGAGGCAGCAGUGGGGAAUAUUGGACAAUGGGGGAAACCCUGAUUCAGCGACGCCGCGUGGGUGAAGAAGGCCUGCGGGUUGUAAAGCCCUUUCGGUAGGGACGAAAGCUCUCGACCUAACACGUCGGGAGGUUGACUUAACCUACAAAAGAAGCACCGGCUAACUCUGUGCCAGCCGCCGCAGUAA